ACACCAGCUACUCAUCUCAACUGGAGAAAACAGCACUUGGGAGUCAGAGAGAAAAAGUGUUCAGUGAAGAAAUUCAGUGAUGAGAGAAGAGUUUCAUUGGUGUUGGAAGGCAAACACAGAAAAGUAAACAGCCCAGUGGAUUACAACAGAUGAAUGGUCACCACUUAGUAACAACAUUAAAUCCUGCCUUUCAAGAGUCAAAAGGACUGGAAUCUGCUUCUAAGAUAUUUAGUAAUCUACUGGAAAAGUUUGCCAC